rnacentral:lncRNA from 1 species
UUACGUAAAAAGAAGUCGAAAUAAAUAUUUUUUUCUGAAAAACACAUUUUAUUAGUCAACCAUACACAAUAGGAAAUCGAAACACUUGCUUUGAAUUUGUUAAGAUUUUUGUAAAUAUAAUAAGUAUGAUUACAAGACUGUUAAAAACUAUGUAAGACAGGUCAAAUAAACAUCAAACCCAAUACACCCCGUAAAAAAAAAAAAAAACAAGUUGAGCCACACAAUUUUUUAUGAAUCCAAUAAAAAUAGGUUUCUUUCAAACAAAUCAAACUUCGUUAGAAAGAGAAUAUUUAGUAGUAUAUGAAACAUAGAGUGUAAUGAUUAGCCAUUGGUUCAUGUAAUAUCAUCAUCACACAAUCAUAAGAGUAAGUUUUUUCUAGUAACGGUACAUUUC